GAUGAACGCUGGCGGCGUGCCUAAUACAUGCAAGUCGAGCGAACAGACGAGGAGCUUGCUCCUCUGACGUUAGCGGCGGACGGGUGAGUAACACGUGGAUAACCUACCUAUAAGACUGGGAUAACUUCGGGAAACCGGGGCUAAUACCGGAUAAUAUAUUGAACCGCAUGGUUCAAUAGUGAAAGACGGUUUUGCUGUCACUUAUAGAUGGAUCCGCGCCGCAUUAGCUAGUUGGUAAGGUAACGGCUUACCAAGGCAACGAUGCGUAGCCGACCUGAGAGGGUGAUCAGCCACACUGGAACUGAGACACGGUCCAGACUCCUACGGGAGGCAGCAGUAGGGAAUCUUCCGCAAUGGGCGAAAGCCUGACGGAGCAACGCCGCGUGAGUGAUGAAGGUCUUCGGAUCGUAAAACUCUGUUAUUAGGGAAGAACAAAUGUGUAAGUAACUAUGCACGUCUUGACGGUACCUAAUCAGAAAGCCACGGCUAACUACGUG
rnacentral:rRNA from 1 species